GACGAACGCUGGCGGCGUGCUUAACACAUGCAAGUCGAACGGAAAGGCCCUGCUUUUGUGGGGUGCUCGAGUGGCGAACGGGUGAGUAACACGUGAGUAACCUGCCCUUGACUUUGGGAUAACUUCAGGAAACUGGGGCUAAUACCGGAUAGGAGCUCCUGCUGCAUGGUGGGGGAUGGAAAGUUUCGGCGGUUGGGGAUGGACGCGCGGCUUAUCAGCUUGUUGGUGGGGUAGUGGCUUACCAAGGCUUUGACGGGUAGCCGGCCUGAGAGGGUGACCGGCGACAUUGGGACUGAGAUACGGCCCAGACGCGUACGGUAGGCAGCAGUGGGGAAUAUUGCACAGUGGGCGGAAGCCUGAUGCAGCAACGCCGCGUGCGGGAUGACGGCCUUCGGGUGGUAAACCGCAUUCGCCUGUGACGAAGCGUGAGUGACGGUAAUGGGUAAAGAAGCACCGGCUAACUACGUG
rnacentral:rRNA from 1 species